rnacentral:rRNA from 1 species
GAUGAACGCUGGCGGUAUGCUUAACACAUGCAAGUCGAACGGACUCUUCGGAGUUAGUGGCGGACGGGUGAGUAACGCGUGAGAAUCUGGCUUUGGGUUCGGGACAACCACUGGAAACGGUGGCUAAUACCGGAUGUGCCGAGAGGUAAAAGAGAAAUUGCCUGAAGAUGAGCUCGCGUCUGAUUAGCUAGUUGGUGAGGUAAAGGCUCACCAAGGCAGCGAUCAGUAGCUGGUCUGAGAGGAUGACCAGCCACACUGGGACUGAGACACGGCCCAGACUCCUACGGGAGGCAGCAGUGGGGAAUUUUCCGCAAUGGGCGAAAGCCUGACGGAGCAAUACCGCGUGAGGGAAGAAGGCUCUUGGGUUGUAAACCUCUUUUCUUAGGGAAGAACAAAAUGACGGUACCUAAGGAAUCAGCAUUGGCUAACUCCGUG